CACUAUAUCAUUUUUUAGUAGUUAGGGGUUAGGGGGGGAAUUCGGACAAAGCCUAUGGUUGCAGGGAUGCACAGAAAACAUUUAGCCAGUGAGAUUGCGCUAAUGUUAGCUUAGCUAACAUGAUCCGUCCUCGGUGUUAUCCUUCUCAGUCACAACGUGCUUCCUCUUCAGGUGUUCAUGCAUCGCUGUAGUGCUACUGAACACAAGUUCUGCCUUGCAUUGAACACUUUUGUCUUUUAUUUUAUUUUUUUGUGUGUUUUCCACUUUUAAGCUCCGCUAGCAUGUCGUUAUGGUACUUGAGUCUUCCUGUAACAUCACUACUGACCCGGAUUAGCACCAUGUGUGUCAAAGACAAUAGCAGCAUUAGAAAGUGCUCACUGUAGUUUUGAGGGAAAAAAAACGACUAAUUGACUAUUAAUUAUAGUUAAUAAUCGGAUCCCAGAAAUAAGCCUGAAUUCUCCCCAAAUUUAAAGAACCUAAAAAAAGAUUUCUUCUUUUCCUCAAAACAAAAAUGAGAAAUGUGUUUAGGCCUGAUGCAAACGGAAAUAUUAUUGAGUCAUGACUUUACGGAAAAAGAUUUUUUUUUUUUACAUUUUCAGUCAUUUAAAGAUGGAUGAAUCCGUGUGGGGAACCUGAGCUGUCCUCGGCAUGCAGGCUGUCUUACUUAACAGCAAGCCAGUAAUUACAUCAGAGCUCCUGCUGCUGUGCUGAUCCGUCAGCCGAGAAGCUGUCCUACUCCAAAUUAUACUUUAAUGUAGUUAAUGAUCAUGUCUGAUGAAGUUUGUUUACCUAACUUCCUUCCUGUGUUCGCCGAUGUCGACUGAAAGUUUGGAAAACUCCUUUCCGACGACGGAGAGGAGGAUGACCUUCAUCCUUUGGUGAUGCUCAGACUCGCACCAACCAGAUUUGAAUGUUUCACUCUGCUGGUUUGUCUUUGUGGCUGUGCCAUCUUUUCAAUGUCAAAACAGAAAUUAUUCAUCAAGAUCAUAGCUCAGAAUGAGAAUCUGUGUCUCUUUUUUUUCUCGUAGUCAACUUGCCAAAAAAUCUUUGACCUCCGGGGCAAAUGAAAUCUGAUGCAUUUCUCACAGAUCGCUCCUUUGCCUCCACAUUUUCCUCCGUGCCCCGAAAGUGCCUGCUGGAAAAUAUCAUUUGAUCUGCCCACAGGAGUGGAAUGAUCUGUUUAGCACGUCGGCAGCAUGGAGUGGAAUUAGUAAUGCAAUAUGAAGCGUUUAGUUAACUUCUCCCCACGUUUGAUUGUUCACGCCGUGCAGCAGGUUGAGCGAGGAUUGUGUGCCGCCGCUUCUGUUGCCGUCUUCCGCCUAAUGAGGUUUGGUGAUGAUAAUGACUGUAGCAGCGAUGAUGAUGAUGAUGAUGAUGAUGUAAGGGCUCCAAAACAACCCGAGGAGAUCCCGGGAGUUGUUGUUUGAAUGAAGAGAGAAUGAAGCCAGCCUGGAGACAAAGAGGCAGAGCGGCGUGGGUCUUUAGAGGCGACAGGCCAGCAGGCGGGAUGAAAGAACGAUGGAGGGGAUACCGGCCCGGAAUAUGAAAGAUUCCAGGCUGCAGCUGAUAAGUUGCGAGCAACAGGCAUUGUCAUUCCCGCUCCAUCCCUGGUUCUGCUCCUCUCUAAUACCGAUCCUCAGGUCUCAGCUGGAUGGGCUGAUUGUUUGACUGAGCAGAAAAGGGUUUUUUCUCCCACUUGUUUGGCAGAAAUCCUGAUUAAAUUCCCCACAACCCUCUUUUUUAUUUUUAAAUCAGCUGGAGGCGGAUAAUUCCACAAACACUCCUGCGCAGAUUUUCCAGGGAGAAGAUGAAACAAAUUCCUGAAAAUGUUCAAAAGUCAAGUUUUUAGUGUUUUAAAAAAAUCAAAUAACCCACAGCGUCGGAGAAUUACAGAUACAUUUCAGAGUCUAGAGUUUCAGCAAAAUAUCUUGGAAUGAGAUCAUUUGACCCACUUUUAAUCAGUAAAAAUCCUACCAAGUCAGUUUUAUAUGACUGCAGUUUUACAAAGUGUUACGUAAAGAUUUUAGAUUCACGCAGAACUCAAAUAAAUUAAUUAAGUCAAUUUAAUUAUUAGUAACUGUAUGACUUCAAAUCUGUCCAGUUUUCAGCCAUAGACCUGUUUGAGUUCUACUGAUUUCAGUUCUGAAAGCUCGUCUAAAAAUGUAAAUAUUUAUAUUUUUUUCAGUCUGAAAGAAAAAAGUGGUUGCAAAGCAAGCCCAAAUCAUGACCCUUCCACUGCCGUGCUUUGUUUUUGAGGAGUUUUUGCUCAAAGCAAAAGAAAAAAAAAAAGUCACUGAGCAAAUUUUCUUUUUAUUUUGUGGAUAUUUAUGUGUGUAGUCCUAAAUAAUCAAUGGACAAGCAACAUUUUUCUGAGAGGGCUUGUGCAUCUUAUAACUGUCUUAAUCCUUUAACCCUUGAACUAUCUUUGGCAAGUUUACAUUAAAAUUAAUGUCAUCGGGACCCCAUGAGAGAGCACAAGGGUUAAACACAGGAUGUAUUUUAUUUUGAAAGGAACUUGAAUGUGCUAUUGUCAAAAGGGAAAGAAUGCACAUUUGUUAUAUACAGAAAAACUCAAUUGUAGAGAACAUUCCAAAGCUAUAUUUUAUAGAUAAAUGUCUUAAUAUUCUCAAAAACAUAAAUAAAGUGUGUUUUUUCUAAAAAUGAGGAGAAACUUUGGAGUUUUUUUCUGAGUUUCGGUCAGUAAGAACCUGGACCAAAUGAUUCUUUUAGUGAAGAAGGUUGCAGACCUGGUUUAAAACAUUAAUUUCAGACAUUUUUUUUUUUUUAUUAGCUCAAUGAAAGUUUAUUGGUCUGAGGUUAAAUUUAACUAAUCCUAAACUUAAAGUUUUGGUAAAUUUUGACAUUUUCUUAUUCAAACACUUUUUUAACUUUGUUUACAUUUUUUUUUAUUUCCCUUUCCACAAUAAAGAAAGAUAGAAGUUCCAGGUGGAAAAAAAUAAAAGAAAACAGUCAAGGAUUGCGUUAAAAAAAUUGGCUUAGUGACAAAACAAAAAUCUUAGAAUCAGUUUUUGCACAAUCAGCUGAAGCAGAAACAGCUGUGAUGAUUGACAGCUGAAUCCUGAAAUGUUUGUGUGGGAAAAAAAACCUCAAAAAUGGUCACAAAGUAAACUUGGAGGUGGUGGUUUACUGCAGAGACGAGGACAAAGACAAAAAGGAAGAAGAACCAACACAUUCAAGUCUGCAGAGAGAGCAGCAGUAAUCCAGGCUGGGCGGUCUCAGCAGAUUUAAGGUCUAGAAGAAACUCGAAGUCCAAUCAACAAAUCAUCAGGCAAGCAAUUCGGAAUCAACCUUGGAACUUGCAAAAUGCCGGCAGAAGUCUUGACAAUCAAAUGAGUUUUCCUUGUAGCGCUAAAACCUGCAGACAGCGAGCAGUUGUUGCAUCUGCUGACUGACAGCAAACAAGAACUCACAACAAGAGAGAUGUCAUCCUAAAGGAGAGGAGAGGAAGACUAGAUUCCUGCAGAAGGAUCAUUCAACGAUGGAAUCGGGAC